GGUUUAGGGUUUAGGGUUUAGAGUUUAGGGUUUAGGGUUUAGAGUUUAUGGUUUAGGGUUUAGAGUUUAGGGUUUAGGGUUUAGAGUUUAUGGUUUAGGGUUUAGAGUUUAUGGUUUAGGGUUUAGAGUUUAGGGUUUAGAGUUGAGAAAUGAGGUUUUGGGGAUAAGAUUUCAAAUUUUGGAAAAUAAAAAAAUUAAAAUUUUCAAAAGAUAAACUUAGAAAGGUACUAUUUUGGUCAUUUUAGUUUUUGAGUGCUAUUUUUGUGAUAUAAAC
rnacentral:lncRNA from 1 species